rnacentral:rRNA from 1 species
UACAGAGACUGCAAGCGUUAUUCGGAUUCACUGGGCGUAAAGCGCGCGUAGGCGGCCCGGUAAGUCCGCUGUAAAAAGCCAGGGCUCAACCCUGGAAAGCCGGUGGAUACUGUCGGGCUAGAGUCCGGAAGAGGCGAGUGGAAUUCCUGGUGUAGCGGUGGAAUGCGCAGAUAUCAGGAGGAACACCAAUAGCGAAGGCGUCU